GGCGAACGCUGGCGGCGUGCUUAACCCAUGCAAGUCGAACGGAAAGGCCCUGCUUUUGUGGGGUGCUCGAGUGGCGAACGGGUGAGUAACACGUGAGUAACCUGCCCUUGACUUUGGGAUAACUUCAGGAAACUGGGGCUAAUACCGGAUAGGAGCUCCUGCUGCAUGGUGGGGGUUGGAAAGUUUCGGCGGUUGGGGAUGGACUCGCGGCUUAUCAGCUUGUUGGUGGGGUAGUGGCUUACCAAGGCUUUGACGGGUAGCCGGCCUGAGAGGGUGACCGGCCACAUUGGGACUGAGAGACGGCCCAGACUCCUACGGGAGGCAGCAGUGGGGAAUAUUGCACAAUGGGCGGAAGCCUGAUGCAGCAAAGCCGCGUGCGGGAUGACGGCCUUCGGGUUGUAAACCGCUUGCGCCUGUGACGAAGCGUGAGUGACGGUAAUGGGUAAAGAAGCACCGGCUAGUUACGUG
rnacentral:rRNA from 1 species